rnacentral:rRNA from 1 species
AGAGGGUGAUCGGCCACACUGGAACUGAGACACGGUCCAGACUCCUACGGGAGGCAGCAGUAGGGAAUCUUCCGCAAUGGGCGAAAGCCUGACGGAGCAACGCCGCGUGAGUGAUGAAGGUCUUAGGAUCGUAAAACUCUGUUGUUAGGGAAGAACAAAUUUGUUAGUAACUGAACAAGUCUUGACGGUACCUAACCAGAAAGCCACGGCUAACUACGUGCCAGCAGCCGCGGUAAUACGUAUGGGGCGAGCGUUGUCCGGAAUGAUUGGGCGUAAAGGGUACGUAGGCGGUUAAUUAAGUCGAGUGUGAAAGGUUGGGGCUCAACCCCAUAAAGCAUUCGAAACUGGUUAACUUGAGAUGUGGAGAGGAAAGUGGAAUUCCUAGUGUAGCGGUGACAUGCGUAGAUAUUAGGAGGAAUACCAGUAGCGAAGGCGACUUUCUGGACACAUACUGACGCUGAGGUACGAAAGCGUGGGGAGCAAACAGGAUUAGAUACCCUGGUAGUCCACGCCGUAAAC